ACAGGGAUUCCCCUAGUAACUGCGAGUGAAGCGGGAAAAGCUCAAAUUUAAAAUCUGGCGGUCGUUGGCCGUCCGAGUUGUAAUCUAGAGAAGUGUUACCUGUGCUGGACCGUGUACAAGUCUCCUGGAAUGGAGCAUCAUAGAGGGUGAGAAUCCCGUCUUUGACAUGGACUGCCUGUACAUGAUGGUGCGCUCUCGAAGAGUCGAGUUGUUUGGGAAUGCAGCUCAAAAUGGGUGGUAAAUGCCAUCUAAAGCUAAAUAUUGGCGAGAGACCGAUAGCGAACAAGUACCGUGAGGGAAAGAUGAAAAGAACUUUGGAAAGAGAGUUAAACAGUACGUGAAAUUGCUGAAAGGGAAACGCUUGAAGUCAGUCGCGUUGGCUAGAAAUCAGCCUUGCUCUUGCUCGGUGUACUUUCUUGUCGACGGGUCUGCAUCAGUUUUGACCAUUGGAGAAGGACAUUGGGAAUGUGGCAUCCUUGGAUGUGUUAUAGCCCGGUGUCGCAUACGAUGGUUGGGAUUGAGGAACUCAGCACGCCGCAAGGCCGGGUCUCUGACCACGUUCGUGCUUAGGAUGCUGGCAUAAUGGCUUUAAUCGACCCGUCUUGAAACACGGACCAAGGAGUCUAACAUGCCUGCGAGUGUUUGGGUGGAAAACCCAUGCGCGCAAUGAAAGUGAAAAGUUGAGAUCCCCUUUAUCAAGGGAGCAUUGACGCCCGGACCAGACCUUUUGCGACGGAUCCGCGGUAGAGCAUGUGUGUUGGGACCCGAAAGAUGGUGAACUAUGCCUGAAUAGGGUGAAGCCAGA
rnacentral:rRNA from 1 species